GGGUUCGGCCGGGAUUUGAACCCGGGACCUCUCGCACCGUUGGCGAGAAUCAUACCCCUAGACCACCGAACC
rnacentral:tRNA from 1 species